AUUCUGUCUAAUAACUACAGGAAGGACGACUGGCAGAUGAAUUCAAAGAGGAUGUGAUGCCUUCCCACUGCCUGAAGGUUCCUGUAGUUCACAGCAGAUCCACCAGGAGGAAGUGUUGAUUUACGUUUAGCAGCACCUGGACUCUGAGGUGAAAGCAGCAGGACAGUGACCGACGCUGACUUCAUGAAGCUUGGGUGGACACUCAUUUCCUCACAACCCUCAUCUUGAUUAACAGUUGUACACUGGUGCCUCACCCAGUUAAUCACGUACCAUUUAGGUUGAGUCCUUCAAAUCCAGCCCGGGCCAUUUGCUACAUGUCCCCUCUCGCUCUGAUGCG